CCUACGGGAGGCAGCAGUCGAGAAUCAUUCACAAUGGGGGAAACCCUGAUGGUGCGACGCCGCGUGGGGGAAUGAAGGUCUUCGGAUUGUAAACCCCUGUCAUGUGGGAGCAAAUUAAAAAGAUAGUACCACAAGAGGAAGAGACGGCUAACUCUGUGCCAGCAGCCGCGGUAAUACAGAGGUCUCAAGCGUUGUUCGGAAUCACUGGGCGUAAAGCGUGCGUAGGCUGUUUCGUAAGUCGUGUGUGAAAGGCGCGGGCUCAACCCGCGGACGGCACAUGAUACUGCGCGGCUGGAGUGAAGGAGAGGGAACUGGAAUUCCCGGUGUAGCAGUGAAAUGCGUAGAUAUCGAGAGGAACACUAGUGGCGAAGGCGGGUUCCUGGACAUUAACUGACGCUGAGGCACGAAGGCCAGGGGAGCGAAAGGGAUUAGAUACCCUUGUAGUC
rnacentral:rRNA from 1 species